rnacentral:lncRNA from 1 species
UACUAAUAAAUAAACUCUGUUUAAGCUAAAACUGAUCCUGAUGUCUUAAUUCUUUAUAUGAAAUGAUUGAUUCGUUUACAAGAAACAGCAACCAAAACCCACAAUAUAGUAUUUACAGGUUCAGUACAUGAAACUGGACUCGAGAUAACAACAACAGCUAUCAUGUGACAAAUCACAAAUCAUCUCAGAAUAACACAUGCGUUUUACUGCCUUACUGGCCAAGUAUAUCCGCUACUGAUUUCUUGACAAUUUGGGAUAGCUCCUCUCUGAAAAAAGUGGAGAGAAAUAUAGAUUAAAGAAAGACACUUUCAUUCGGUUUCAAGAUCCACAUUUGAUAUGAAACUUACUACUUAAAUCAGAAUUUUAAAAAAGCUAACUUCAGUUCUAUAAAAUUUAUAGGGCAUCAGACUCAGAAAUUUUACGGCUAUAAAAACAGAAUCGUGUUUAAAUGAGGAUUUAAAUUACCUGUCGGGUUUGAACAAGAGAUAUCGAUAUGUAAACCACUGCAAAACACAACGAUUAGGUUACAUGACUUAAAGGAACAGUCCAUAUAUAUUCGUUGAUAUGAUGUCAAAGCUUACUUACCGUUGAGAACAAGAUACCAACUAGUUCAAACCCAGAGGAGAUAACAGGCAAUUUGUCGAUUGCCUAAUGAAGAAAAAUAAAAAUCUCAGAAUAUUUAAAACAAAUAUACAACCAAAAAGGUUUUAUUAAGUGUUUUAUACUAUACCGUGAUGAUGUUAAGUGAAGCCCAAAGAGCCACAAUAGCAGCAAAACUCAAACCAAUAAGACCUAAACGAUCUUCAGACUUAUCCCACUGAAACAAGUUACAUUCCAAGAAACCAAACAAUGUCCAAAUCAAAACUUAACACAUACAUGUGUGUUUAAAUGGAGCAGAGGUUUUUGGAGACUUACAACAUUCUGAAUUGAACUAAUGACGUCGAGAUCAGAUGAUUCAGAACUUUUGCCACUAGCUUUCACCGCAAGACCCAUGCUAUGGCUUCUUCUAUCUACAAGGAAGCUCAAAACUCAGAAACUCGAUCUCAUAUUAAACAAUUACAGUGAUGAAUCAUUACCUCGAAUAGGAGAAAAUGGGAGUUUCUGAACUGAUGUGAGGUUAGGUUUUCUCUGAGUGAGCAGCAAUGGUGGAGGCAAAGUUGCAGAAACAGACGCCAUUUUAGAGAUUUCUCGUUAAUCUGAGGAAGAAGAGAACGUCCAAGUAAUUGUUAUUGAAUAGCAAGAAACAAAUUUAGAUAGCCUUAUCUUCCUCUAAUCCACGUGGCAUCUCAUCAGUGGCAUAAAAAUCUCUUACCCAUUUCGCCACGUGUUAGAACAUGAUCCAAGUGAAGUAGAUUCUCUAGCUAUACAAAUGACAACAAUCCACUCACUUACUUUGGCAACAACAACAAGGAGAGAAGUCUUUAUUGUGUGUUUGGUCUGACAAACAUGGCAUCUUUUGCAACCAUCGCCGCCGUUCAACCAUCCUCCGCCGUGAAAGGACUCGGAGGAAGCUCUCUCUCCGGAGCAAAGCUCUUCAUCAAGCCUUCUCGCCAAAGCUUCAAACCCAAAUCCACAAGGUAUAUCAAAAGCCUUUUUAUUUGGAAUCUUGGAUUGAGAUUAAUGAGAAUGUUCCUUUUGGGUUUAGGGCUGGUGCCGUGGUGGCCAAGUAUGGAGACAAAAGCGUUUACUUUGAUUUAGAAGAUUUAGGUAACACAACAGGACAAUGGGAUUUGUAUGGAUCUGAUGCUCCUUCUCCUUACAACCCACUUCAGGUUUUUUAUUUGAAACCCUAAAUAUCUUAUAUGCUUCUUCAAAUUCUGAGAAAAUGAUUGUGACUAUGAGACUUUGCUUGCAGAGCAAGUUCUUUGAGACAUUUGCUGCUCCUUUCACAAAGAGAGGUUUGCUUCUCAAGUUUUUGAUUCUUGGAGGAGGCUCUCUGCUUACUUAUGUCAGUGCUUCCUCAACUGGUGAUGUUCUUCCUAUCAAGAGAGGUCCUCAAGAGAAGCCUAAGCUCGGUCCUCGCGGCAAGCUUUAAAUUAGCUUUCUAAAUCCCUUGAAAACAUCAGAAACUUUCUUCCCAAGUCUCUGAACUCGUGUUGUUACUGAUCUAUGUAUAUUGUCUUGUGUUAAUUGCUAUGAUGAAUCAAUGAAAAAAAAAUUGCAUGUCAAGUCUGCUACAACACAAUGGUGAGCUUUUUUUCAUUUGAAUCAUGGACAAAUAAAAUUGCAUUUCAAACCUAAUUUUACAAGAUUUGUUUUUUCUCAAGAAUAUCUUGCGGUUGGACUCCUCAUAGUUCCAAGAUUUUCAAGAUAAGAACUCUUUUUGUUGGUUGUCAUAAUACCUGUGACUUUUGACAACAAUGGUUUCUCUUUAUCUCCUCCAUAAUAGCUUUCUUUCUUCACCUCAUUGUUCUUGUUACCCCAUUGCAUAACAUCUGAGAGUGAUGUCCCUGAAAGCCUUUCCUCUGAGAAACUAAUCCGUUCCUCCUUCGGUUUCUCUGUCUCUAUAACAGUAUAUCUAUUCUUACUAGAUGCAUUUGUAGGUUCUUGAGUAAGUUGAUCAGCGUAUAGCACGUCUUCUAUUCUUGACAUCACCGUGUGAGCCAAACUCUCAAGCACUCUUGAGUAACUCUCUAAUAUAGCAAGUCCUACAUCCUGCAAAACAAACCGUAGAGCGAACCCGUUGACAAAAACAACAUCCAAUUUAGUUACAUCAACAAUAACAUUUCUACAAUAGUCAACAAUUGAUAAAAAAAAAUCAAACCAAUUUAGUUACAUAAAAACAACAACAACAAAUCCCAUACACUUGAACAAACCGUUGUAAUCAUUUUAACUAAUUAAUACAUAUAACACACUUGCACUUUAUUUUAUUUUUUUGAAUGAACACACUUGCACUUUAUAACGCUCGCAAAUAAUGUGUAUCAAAUAUGGAGCUUAACUAAGAGUAAAUGUUUACUUAGUCAUAUAUUGAUUUGGUGGUGCAUUACCUGGUGCUUCACUCCCAUAUUGCCCUUGAGCAAGAAUCCCGUUCCAACCUGCAGUUAUAAACACACUCUUAACAAUAUUCAAUAUAUAUACACAUGUUCCUUUCUAUAUAAUUAAAAAGUUAUUUCUUCUAUGAAAAGUUCAGAGUAUUUCUAGAGCAUGCUUAGUAUUUAAUUAUGCUUGAUCUGCGUAAACCAAAGUAUUCUAAACGUACAGUAUGUUUAUACAUAAAUCCGGUUAUAAUACUUCUCUUUUUUUUCUUUCUUAUAAGUAAGGUUAUAAUACUUCUCCUUCUAACCGAUUAGACUAACAGCAUUUGAACACAUAUAAGUAAAAGUUUCAUGGGCUAUACUAACUCAAAUUUUUUUGAUAGAGGAGAUUAAAGUUAGUACCCAAAGAAGGAUCAAGAUUCCUAGCCUUGAGCUCUCUGUAUUCUUGACAAAGAGAGCAACAAGAGCAUAAAACAUGAGUGGCACAAUCUGAAUAUGGAGCUUCCACAAGAUUAAAUCUUCUCCUCAUUUUUUCCCUAUACUUUGAUCCCAUCACCCACUGUGAGCACAAAGCCGGCAUCAUCAACAAGUAUAUGAAACUUCCAAGUGGACAAGCUGCAUAAACAAUUGCAUAUAUGAGCUUCAAAUUAAUGAAUAAUCUUAUUUCGGUUUCAAUUUGUGUAAACCGUAAACAUACUCAUCUCUCCUUCAUCCAACACCUCAGCUAUUUGUCCGAAUGUCACACAUGGUAAGAUUGCUGUCAUCACGGCUGCACAUAAUAAUAAAGAUUAGUGAGUCCAUUAAUAUUGAAUAUUUUGCUAUAACAGUAUGGAUACAAUACCAUUGGUUUGGUCUUCUUGACAAUCAAACAAACCACUCCUCCAUGGAGUCCCAACCGAUAUGUUAACAUUAGCUUGAUGAUAACUCGGAGGUGCGAAUUGGCUCAUCGGAACUCCGGUUUGUUGGACCGGUAUACCGGUUUGCUGAACUGGUGAACUGCCAUCUGGAUUCUCCCUUUGUGGAGUAGUAACACGACCCAUUGGUUGAUAUGUAUAGUGUAGCUGAGCUAGCUUGAUGUGAAGGGUUGAUUUAUAGAAGGAGAAGCUUUCUUAUUUUUCUCCUUGGCGUAUGAAAUAAUCCAAUAAUAUUCAAUAGAAAAGUUGCGUUUUUCUUAUUAAUAAAACAAAGAAACUUGUAAUCUCUUUCGCCGAAAAGAAAGUAGAGAUUUCGGAUUACAUAGUUCACAUUUAAAGUUUUGACUUCUUCAAGGGUUGAGUGGGUGGAAGUCAAUGGGUUAUACGAGUAUAUGUCUUAAUCAAAGUCAACGUCUUGAGCCAAACCUUCCGAUUUAUUUUGUUUAAUUUUUCAAACAAGUUGCGAGCAAAACCAAAUAAAUCUGAUUAAAUAUCAUAUUCCUUGGUCUACUCAAAAUUUGAAUCAUAUUUUUUUGUACAAGUAGGCUUUAAGAUUGAUACGAAAUAUUUUGAUUUCUAAUUUUAAAAUAGGAAACGUGUUAUUCAAUACAAAAAAAAUUAAGAAAGAAAAUUGCAACACCCAAAACAUUUUAUUUGGAUAUAUAAAUAAUUAUAUGUUCUGCUUCUAGAAAAUAAAUAUGAAUACUAAGAUUUUACUAAUAAAUAAACUCUGUUUAAGCUAAAACUGAUCCUGAUGUCUUAAUUCUUUAUAUGAAAUGAUUGAUUCGUUUACAAGAAACAGCAACCAAAACCCACAAUAUAGUAUUUACAGGUUCAGUACAUGAAACUGGACUCGAGAUAACAACAACAGCUAUCAUGUGACAAAUCACAAAUCAUCUCAGAAUAACACAUGCGUUUUACUGCCUUACUGGCCAAGUAUAUCCGCUACUGAUUUCUUGACAAUUUGGGAUAGCUCCUCUCUGAAAAAAGUGGAGAGAAAUAUAGAUUAAAGAAAGACACUUUCAUUCGGUUUCAAGAUCCACAUUUGAUAUGAAACUUACUACUUAAAUCAGAAUUUUAAAAAAGCUAACUUCAGUUCUAUAAAAUUUAUAGGGCAUCAGACUCAGAAAUUUUACGGCUAUAAAAACAGAAUCGUGUUUAAAUGAGGAUUUAAAUU